rnacentral:rRNA from 1 species
AGCGGCAACAGCUCAAAUUUGAAAUCUGGCGCCUUGUGCGCCCGAGUUGUAAUUUGUAGAGGAUGUUUCGGGUGCGGCACCGAUCUAAGUUCCUUGGAACAGGGCGUCAUAGAGGGUGAGAAUCCCGUAUGUGACCGGUCGCCUAUCCCAUGUGAAACUCCUUCGACGAGUCGAGUUGUUUGGGAAUGCAGCUCAAAAUGGGUGGUAUAUUUCAUCUAAAGCUAAAUAUUGGCCAGAGACCGAUAGCGCACAAGUAGAGUGAUCGAAAGAUGAAAAGCACUUUGGAAAGAGAGUUAAAAAGUACGUGAAAUUGUUGAAAGGGAAGCGCUUGCGACCAGACUCGCCCGGGGGUGAUCAACCGUCCUUUUGGGCGGUGCACUUUCCCUCGGGCGGGCCAGCAUCGGUUCGGGCGGCUGGAUAAAGGCUUCGGGAAUGUAGCUCCUCUCGGGGAGUGUUAUAGCCCGGGGUGCAAUGCAGCCAGUCUGGACCGAGGACCGCGCUUUUGCUAGGAUGCUGGCGUAAUGGUCGUCAGCGACCCGUCUUGAAACACGGACCAAGGAGUUAACCACCGGUGCGAGUGUUUGGGUGUCAAACCCGUACGCGUAAUGAAAGUGAACGGAGGUGAGAACCCCUUUCGGGGCGCAUCAUCGACCGAUCCUGAUGUCUUCGGAUGGAUUUGAGUAAGAGCACCGUUGGUUUGACCCGAAAGAUGGUGAUCUUUACGCGGAUAGGGUGAAGCCAGAGGAAACUCU